GCUAGCGUAGCUUACAUAAAGCGUAACUCUGAAGAUGUUAAGAAGGACCCUAAAAAGUUCCGCGGGCA
rnacentral:tRNA from 1 species